UAUUAAAAAUUUCAUCCAUUUUUUCUGUUAAAAACUGGUGUAAUUGACGAAAUAACUAAACAGUUACACGUGGUGUGUCACAAGUACCUCAUGCUAAUGUUCAGGGAUCAAUUUUUAACCGUAGAAAUGAAUGAAUUUUUUACAA
rfam:Gossypium hirsutum cultivar TM-1 chromosome 15, whole genome shotgun sequence